rnacentral:rRNA from 1 species
AAUCCAUAGGUUAAUGAGGCGAACCGGGGGAACUGAAACAUCUAAGUACCCCGAGGAAAAGAAAUCAACCGAGAUUCCCCCAGUAGCGGCGAGCGAACGGGGAGGAGCCCAGAGCCUGAAUCAGCAUGUGUGUUAGUGGAAGCGUCUGGAAAGGCGCGCGAUACAGGGUGACAGCCCCGUACACAAAAGCGCAUGUGCUGUGAGCUCGAUGAGUAGGGCGGGACACGUGGUAUCCUGUCUGAAUAUGGGGGGACCAUCCUCCAAGGCUAAAUACUCCUGACUGACCGAUAGUGAACCAGUACCGUGAGGGAAAGGCGAAAAGAACCCCGGCGAGGGGAGUGAAAAAGAACCUGAAACCGUGUACGUACAAGCAGUGGGAGCCCCACCACUAAGCCAGUGGUGAACUCCACAUACGCAUCCUUUGCUGAGGAUACGGUUAACGGAGCGAAAGCGACGUUCAACCUCAAAAGAAGCAGAGGGGGCUUAGUGGUGGGGUGACUGCGUACCUUUUGU